AUACAGAGGGUGCGAGCGUUAAUCGGAAUUACUGGGCGUAAAGCGCGCGUAGGCGGCUACUUAAGUCAGAUGUGAAAUCCCCGGGCUCAACCUGGGAACUGCAUCUGAUACUGGGUAGCUAGAGUUUAGGAGAGGGAAGUAGAAUCUCAGGUGUAGCGGUGAAAUGCAUAGAGAUCUGAAGGAAUACCAGUGGCGAAGGCGGCUUCCUGGCCUAAAACUGACGCUGAGGUGCGAAAGCGUGGGUAGCAAACGGGAUUAGAUACCCCAGUAGUCC
rnacentral:rRNA from 1 species